UCUGAUAGUCUUUGGCUGUCCGAGUUGUAAUCUGGAGAAGCGUCUUCCGCGCUGGACCGUGUACAAGUCUCCUGGAACGGAGCGUCAUAGAGGGUGAGAAUCCCGUCUUUGACACGGACUACCAGUGCUUUGUGAUGCGCUCUCAAAGAGUCGAGUUGUUUGGGAAUGCAGCUCAAAAUGGGUGGUAAACUCCAUCUAAAGCUAAAUAUUGGCGAGAGACCGAUAGCGAACAAGUACCGUGAGGGAAAGAUGAAAAGCACUUUGGAAAGAGAGUUAAACAGUACGUGAAAUUGCUGAAAGGGAAACGCUUGAAGUCAGUCGCGUUUGCUAGGACUCAGCCUUGCCUCGGCUUGGUGCACUUCCUAGUAGACGGGCCAGCAUCACUUUUGGCUGCGGGAAAAAGGUCAGAGGAAUGUGGCACCUUCGGGUGUGUUAUAGCCUCUGGCUGCAUACCGUGGCUGGGAGUGAGGAUCUCAGCACGCCUUACGGCGGGGCUUCGGCCACCUUCGUGCUUAGGAUGCUGGCGUAAUGGCUUUAAACGACCCGUCUUGAAACACGGACCAAGGAGUCUAACAUGCCUGCGAGUGUUUGGGUGGAAAACCCGAGCGCGUAAUGAAAGUGAAAGUUGGGACCUCUGUCGUGGAGGGCACCGACGCCCGGACCAGAACUUUGGGGACGGAUCUGCGGUAGAGCAUGUAUGUUGGGACCCGAAAGAUGGUGAACUAUGCCUGAAUAGGGUG
rnacentral:rRNA from 1 species